AUGAGCAAGCAGGGUGGUAUUGGUAGCACGGUCCCUCUCCUCACCCCAUACAAGAUGGGCGCGUUCGAUCUCUCCCACAGGGUAGUUCUUGCACCGCUUACAAGGACACGAUCCUACGGCAAUGUUCCUCAGCCCCAUGCCAUACUGUAUUAUCAGCAGAGAACAACCAAAGGAGGCCUCUUGAUUGCCGAGGCCACUGGAGUCUCAGACACUGCCCAAGGGUACAAAGAUACUCCUGGCAUUUGGACAAAGGAGCAGGUGGAAGCGUGGAAGCCUAUCGUAGAUGGGGUUCAUGCCAAGGGAGGGAUAUUUUUCUGUCAGAUUUGGCAUGUCGGAAGAGUCUCUAAUCAUACUUAUCAGCCUAAUGGACAAGCUCCGAUAUCGAGCACCGAUAAGCCAUUGAAACCUAUGGUGAUAGACAAGCACAUAGUAGCUGAUUUCGCAACGCCUAGGCCACUGGAAACCGAUGAGAUCCCUAUGGUCAUCAAUGAUUUCAGGGUUGCUGCUAGAAAUGCAAUUGAAGCUGGAUUUGAUGGUGUUGAGAUCCAUGGGGCUCAUGGCUAUUUGAUCGAUCAGUUUUUCAAGGACCAAGUCAAUGGACGCACUGACAAAUACGGUGGGAGCUUAGAGAAUCGUUGCCGGUUUGGACUAGAAGUAGUCCAAGCCGUGGUAGAUGAAAUCGGAGCUGGUAAGGUUGGGAUGAGGCUCUCACCCUUUGCAAACUACUGGGAAUCGUCAGACUCCAACCCGGGAGCUCUAGGCCUGUACAUGGCACACGCGCUGAACAAAAUUGGGAUCCUCUACUGUCACACGGUCGAGCCACGGAUGAUAACGUUCGUUGACAAGGUUGAAACUCCAAAUAGCCUUCGCGCCAUGCGGGAUGCUUUCAAGGGAACGUUUAUUGUAGCUGGUGGCUACGGCAGGGAGGAUGGAAACGCAGCUGUCUCCAGUGGCUAUGCUGAUCUGGUUGCAUACGGACGCUUGUUCUUGUCUAAUCCUGACUUGCCUCAGAGGUUUGAGAUUGAUGCUCCUCUAAACAAGUACAACAGAGAUACUUUCUACAUCUCCGAUCCAGUUGUUGGAUACACUGACUACCCAUUCCAUCUAUCCGAUGUAUAA
rnacentral:rRNA from 1 species